AGUGAGUAUUUGGAGGUUUAUUGGUGAUUGAGACUUGGUUUGUGGCUGUUUCUUUGAGCUUGGAGGGUUGUGUUCUUGCCUGUGAGGCUGCCUUGGGUUGAAUAAAGUGAUCGGCCAAGAUGCAGGUCGAGAGGCUCCUCGCUAGGCGUCUGGAUCCUGGGAAGCGAAGUAGUUCUUGGGUGUAUUUUGGUUUUCUAUUUGUAUAUAUGUAUAUAUAUGUUUAGCUUACUCUCCAGGUAACUUAUGUAUGCUGCUCCUCUUAGAGGUUGAGGGAGAGAUAGGAGUUAUUUUGAUAUUAUAGUGUAUUUUGGGAUAUUUUGAGAACACUUAUGUAUGUUUAUAUGUAUAUAUAUACCCUCCGGCCAGCCUUAGCUUCGCAGGCUGAGUCAAGGGCUAGUUAUGCUGCU